AAUAAUGCAUAGGGCUCCCUAUUUGAAGCAGCGUUCCUGCGCAGCUUUUACAGCUGCCCGCCACCGCUGUUGAGCAGCCAGGAGCUCUGACGGGUCAAGCGGCUGCCUGGGUUCUUCGGGCAGGAGCAGCGCCCUGUACAGCCUGAGUUGUAGCCUCAGCCUGUGGUCGGAAAGGCUACAACGCUGCUCUGGGGGCUGCUCUGGCAGCAGCUCCGCCAGUGGCUCCUGCUGGCUCAGCAGCGGUGUUUGCUCAUUGUUUCUGUGAAUAUAUCAAUCAUUAAUGUUUGAGCUCCCAGUAUGAAUAAAAAUAAAACAAUAAAUACAUGUUAUGACAAGCUAGGUGUUAGGCACUUAAUAUUUGCUAAACUUUGUUAAAUGACUUGUCUACUAAUUACAUAAACAAACAGUAUCAUAAAUUAAUUAAACUAAGUAGAAUUCUAUAACUUCGGACAAAUUUAUCACCUUAUUUCAAAGAGACUUGUGUGUCAACCUUAUUUUUAGAACGUAGUAACAGUGCAAAUGAUAUAAAAGCUUGUAAGAAACUUACAUUUUGGUACACGGCAUAAGCCAUUCCAGGCAUCCGCAUGGGGUCCUCUGAAUGCUGCAAGUCAUAAUUAAGUAUUAAACCAUUAAGUAGUCAGUAACAUUAGUAUCAGGUUAUCAACGUAAAACUGAUUCAACCAUUCCAAAUGCAUCCCCACAAGUAUUUCAGAGGUUAGUUGGACAACACACGCUGUAAGGCAAUGUUAAUUUAAGCCAGCACAAACAAUAUCGGCAGCAUUACACAUCCCAAGUGCAGUAUGAUAUUAAAAUAAGUAGGUAUAGGUGCCAAAUCGAACCACACGACAAUAAAUACCUUUAAAACCAUCGUGUUUACGUCAGCUAUAAAAAAAGAAGUACAUUAUAUUAAUUUUAAUGACAAUUAUAUUACUACAACAAGAAAACUAAUAGUGAAUUGUUAACACGUUCACUGUCAGGCCAAAAUCCAUGCCAUUCGCUACAUGUCGGCGUUAAAACAAACAACUAUACCGGACUCCCCCGUGGAGUCCAAUCGCGCACUUGACAAAUAAACAACGCUGCAUGUCAAGAACUCCGCUCGGGAGUUCAUUUGUUUCUUUACCGUAUGUCGUCGACUCCGCUAAGGAGUCCAGGGCUGUCACAGACCAAAAUUGCAGAGACCAAGCAUUUUUAAAUUUAUAACACAAUACAUUCAGGCUGCGUUCAGAAAGAAGCUCGCCGUUCUAUUGGCCUUGAUGGCGUCGCGGGCGGGCGGGCGGUCUAGUGUAGUGUGCUCAGCAGUGGGACGUAUAUAGGCUGACAGGAUGAUGAUUAUAUUGAUUAUACAUAUCGCGUCUGCGGCCAGCGUAAUGUGGCCGCUACACGGGCGCGAUUAAGAGUGAGAAAUAACGAUGUUAGAAUGAGACAUCAGCUGUCAAAUUAGUCGCGUGACUUUUUUGUGGCGCACGCGAUUUGAUAAUGAGUCGAGGACAUUUCUUUUUACGAAAUCUUAAUUUAUUAGGGAAAAUCUCAGAGAAAAUAAAUGAUGUUGUUUUUUGCAAACAAAUAAUAAUACAUGCUAUUCAUUGAACAACGUUAUGCAACAUUUUAUUCGGUUUCCGAAUGAGAAUUUUGUGCGUCUGUGCCCAGCCUAAUAUCGGCAUCGUGAACCAAACGUCAAAUGUGACAUUUCCCAUACUCAAAUAAAAUAACGAAUCGUGCGCACCAUGGGCAACUGGUAAUUAAAGAAGUGUGUUUAAGUAAAAGGUGGAUUUUGAAUAAAUAUUUUAUUUUAUAGAAUCUGUACAAUAUAAUUAACAAAAAUAACCCUUAAUUUCAUGUAGGACAGAAUUUAUGACAUUGUUGUUACACGAAUUUUGAGUAGUUUACCUGAGAAAGUAAAAGGCAUGCAGUUGGAAUAGAUUUGUAAAUGGGGAUUUGAUGGUACUUCCAGUCACAGCAGAUAUAAACAGAGAAUCGAUGGCAGUGAACAAAAUGACUCGAGCAUUUUCAUGACCACUUUAGUGUGAAGUGUUCGGCGUUCAGGGCUUAUAAUGAUAACACAAGAGUCGAGUAAGUACUGAAUAUAUUGAUAGAAAGUGCUGGCCUUAUAUACUAAGGUUAAAACAGGCUUAAUCGAGUGGAAGUUAUGGCAAUGGUCAUUAACCAUUGUAUAGCAAAUUACAGUAAGUCAAGGUUUAUGGCAUCGUUAACUUAAUGUUCUGUAAAGUAGUAAAAUACAUACACUCGGCAUAGGUAUCAAGUAUCAGCUGCAUCAAGCAGCAGUGUAUCAGCUGAUAGCAGCUGUGUAUGAACUGACUACACUACAGCUUUCCCGU